AAUUCCUGUAGGAUCCUAUAGGAAUUCCUAUAGGAUCCUAUAGGACAUUCCUAUAGGAAUUCCUAUAGGAUCCUAUAGUAAUC